UACGUAGGGGGCUAGCGUUGUCCGGAAUCAUUGGGCGUAAAGAGCGUGUAGGCGGCCCGGUAAGUCCGCUGUAAAAGUCAAAGGCUCAACCGUUUGAAUGUCAGUGGAUACUGCCGGGCUAGAGUCCGGAAGAGGCGAGUGGAACUCCUGGUGUAGCGGUGGAAUGCGCAGAUAUCAGGAGGAACACCGGUGGCGAAGGCGGAUCUCUGGGCCUGUCCUGACGCUCGAGGCGCGAAAGCUAGGGGAGCAAACAGG
rnacentral:rRNA from 1 species